UACAAUUGAAUUUCCCAUUAAGUUGUGAUAUUACUUGAAUUUUGAUUGGUACCAAGUGGGGCCAGUAACAACACCCCCCACUCUUGUCUCUUUCUAUUUUUUAUUUGGUCAAGCAAGACGGCUCCAUGUGAACCGCAAAAGCAAAUUCAACAGAAGGAAGAAAAAUGAGAUUUCACACAACAAAACGAGUAAAUGCCCCCCACCUGGAUCACUGAAACCCCCAAUUGAAUUUCAGCAUUACAAAUCCCCAAUUUUCAAACUCACUACUCACCUUUAAUCACAAACUCAGUUCACAGUUCAGACCACCAUUAUUAUUUUCUCAUCUUCCUCCUCCCUUCAAACCCAACCAACCAAAGGCUACUCCUCUGCAACAAAACACAUUUAAAAAAAAAAAUGGCUGAGAGUGCAGUGUUCCAUCUACUAGCCAACUUCACACCCUUCCUCCAACAAGAGGCCAAUUUGUUGACUGGAGUUCGAGAUGAGAUCCAAUACAUCAGAGAUGAAUUUGAGUGCAUGACAGCUUGCCUCAAAGUUGCCGAUGCUAUGGAAAAGAACAACCCCGAACUCAAAGUAUGGGUCAAGCAAGUCCGAGAAGCUGCGUACGACAUUGGAGAUGUUCUUGAGUUGUUCGUGCCAUCUUGAAUAGAUGCGAGGGAUUGCCACUUGCAAUUGUGGCAAUUAGUGGUCUUUUUUUAUCAACAAAGGAUAAGAGCAUUGUGGAUGAGUGGAAUAAGAUCUACCCCAGCUUUGGUGUAGAACUAGAAGGAAAUGACAGACUCCUAAGCAUGAAGAAAAUAUUGUCCCUCAGUUACCUUGAUUUACCCUAUUAUCUGAAGUUUUGCUUUCUCUAUCUAAGUGUUUGUCCGGAGGACUGUUUCAUUGACCAUUGGAGAUUGAUUCGAUUAUGGUUGGCAGAAGGAUUUGUAGAAAUGAAAGCAGGAAUGACGGUAGAAGAAGUUGCUGAGGGCUACCUCAAUGAGCUAAUCAAUAGAAGCUUAGUUCAAGUGGCAGAGAUGAGAUCAGAUGGAAGGAUCAAAACGUAUCGCAUCCAUGACCUCUGGCAUGAAAUUAUUGUUUCCAAGUCAGGAGAGCAAAACAUUGUGACAAUAGCUGGUGAACAAAGAAGAGUGUGACCUGAAAAGAUUCAAUGUCCAAGUUCCCCAUGCUUGCAUCAUCAAAUGAUGGUCUACAGUUGCUAACUGUGCUAAACUUGAAAGGUGCCUUGUUGGAGACAUUCCCAAAUGAAGUUUUGAAACUAAUUCAACUCAGGUAUGUAAGUUUGAGGGGAACCAAUGUAAAAGUAAUUCCAAAGUCGAUUGGAAAGCUCCAAAACCUGGAAACAUUGGACCUUAAUGCUGUGUUUGGUUAGAAGAUUUGGGGAGGGAUUUGGAAAGGGAAAGGGAAAAAGGUGUGUGAAACUAGGUGAAAUGUAAGUAUAUUUUAUUCACAUUUCACUUAACUUUUCCCUUUCCCUUUCCAAAUCCCUCUUCAAAUCCUCCAACCAAACACAGCGUAAAGAUACGUAUGUCACUGAGUUGCCUGAUGACAUCCUCAAACUCCAACAACUUCGCCAUAUCUUGUUGUAUCGCUACAAACAAGAUCUUGUUCCUUCCAUUUGUUUUCAACACCAUUGUGGAUUCAAAGCCCCGACGGAAAUAGGAAGUUUGUCAUCCUUACAGAAACUUUGUUCUAUUGAAACAAACCAUGAUAAUGGAACCAUUUUACUAGGAGAGGUAGGGAAGUUAACUCAACUGAGGAAAUUACGCAUUGAAAAACAGAGAAAUGAAGAUGGGAGGGUGUUAUGCUCGUCCCUUGAGAAGCUUAGUGACCUUCGCUCAUUAGUUGUUCGUGCAGCAGGAGAAGACGAGAUCAUUGAUCUAGAUUCUCUUUCUUCAACUCCUCAACUUCUUUGAACGCUCUACCUAGUAGGAAGUUUACAUAAGGUACCGCAUUGGAUACCUUCAUUGCACAAUUGGUAAGAGUAAUUUUAGCAUGGAGUAAGUUGAAGGAUGUUGAUCCACUAGAAUCCCUUCAAGGUUUGCCUGAUUUGGUUGAACUUCAACUUCGUCGGACAUACGAAGGGAAAGGAUUGUGUUUCAAGGCUAGUGGAUUUCAAAGACUUGUGAGAUUAGGACUUGCUGGAUUAAAAAGAUUGAGACGGGUGAAAGUGGAGGCUGGCUCGAUGCCUCAUCUUGAAGAGUUAUUUAUCUGUGAAUAUAAAUUGGUGGAGGAGUUACCCUAUGGCAUUGAACAUCUAACCAGCCUUAAAUCUCUUUAUUUUGUUGAUAUGUCUUAUGGAUUGAGUUUAAGCCUGGACAUAAACUUAGAAGGUGGGAAUUAUUGGAAAAUUGCACACAUUCUAGAAGUUUGGAUUGGGGACACAAUAUCUGGCUCUAUGCAAGGAACUUAUCUAUAGCGAGAGAGGAGAUAGCUCUAACCAUAUUGGAAACCACUAUAUUUAGAAUGCGUAUUAUGUAUUUAUUUAUUUUCACAUGCUCUUAGUACUUGACUUCUUGUAUUCAUAUUGAUAUCAAAUUUUUGUCUUUUUUUUCUUCUCCUUUUCAUUUUUUUCAGUAGAUCGGGAGCUUGUUAUUUGACCUCCUAAUUUUGAUCCUAGAGAGUUGGUAACUUCACAAGUUUUUAAAUUGGGAUUGUAAAUCUUAGGGUUAGUUUGGUGAGAUUUUUAUAUUAUUUUAUUUAUUUUGCUUUAGCUUUAAAUUUUUUGAAAAUUGAAAUAAAAAAACUGUUUGCUAAUUGUUCACUUUUAAAAAAACUGGCUACAGUUCUCAAAAAUUGAGGAAAUAAGAAAAAUGUGGUUUUACUUAUUUUCAAAACAAGUUUCAUUCCUUCUUACCUCCCUCACCCUUCCAUCCUCUGGCCAACGUCUCCGCUCCUACAACCACCUCCGACAACUCCCCCCAUUUGGUAACUUACUAUACUUGUUUUGAUUUUGGAAAAUGAUAUACAAGUUUUCUAAACUCGUUUUCUAUAUUUAGUACCGUAUAAAAUAGAUGAUUGGUUAAUGAUUAGAGGGAAUAUGAGAUGGCAGCUACCACAUUUUUUCUUCAAACCUUAUUCAAUCAAGCCAAUAAUUGUGAUUUUUUUUUUAGUUGAAUUUCUCUCAAGUUCAUGCCCAAGGGGCCCAUCACGAGUCCAUUUCAAUGAUUCAAACAAUUCUGUAAGACCAUCAAUGUAUAUUAUCCGUGAAAAAAAUUUAAUCAAUAAAAUAAUCGUAACAUUUUUAUUUUAUUA